rnacentral:rRNA from 1 species
GACUACAAGGGUAUCUAAGCCUGUUUGCUCCCCACGCUUUCGUGCCUCAGCGUCAGGACAUGCCCAGCGGACCGUCUUCACCAUCGGCGUUCCUGUAGAUAUCUACGCAUUUCACCGCUCCACCUACAGUUCCGUCCGCCCCUACAUGCCUCAAGGCCGCCAGUAUGCCCUGCGAUUCCCCGGUUGAGCCGAGGGAUUUCACAGAACACUUAGCGACCCGCCUACGCACCCUUUAAGCCCAAUGAUUCCGAUUAACGCUCGAGCCCCCUGUCUUACCGCGGCUGCUGGCACAGGGUUAGCCGGCUCUUCCUUUGGGGGUGAUCAGUGUUUCUACCCCCUGACAGCAGUUUACACGGCGUAGCCGCUUCAUCCUGCACGCGGCAUUGCUCCGUCAGGCUUUCGCCCAUUGCGGAAGAUUCCUCACUGCAGCCACCCGUAGG